GCACUGCUACCAGCGGCCACUGACACUUGCAAUGUCCGAGUGAUACUGACGGGGCAGCCUCCCACUGGCUCCACCUUCCAGGAAAGAGGUGCCCUGCAAGCUGUGGCCUGCUGAAGCGAUGCUGGGACGAGAACACAGGUGGCCAUGUGACCAGAGGUGCUCCUAUCUCCCUAGUUCUGGAAGAUGGACCAACACCCUUCACAUUUCACGUCACUGCCUUCCAAUAUAUGUUUUGUAUCUUGUGGAGAGAAUGUGUAGAGGAAAGAAUCCAGGACCAAGCCCUGAAAACCCUCAGCCCUGGAACACUCCACCAUUUAAAGGUUUUUAUUUGUUCCAGAGAAUGCAACCACUACUUAUGCUUUUAAGAGGUCCUUUUCCAUCCUACCUUGUCCCCGUGUCCUAACCCAAAGAAGCAAUCCUCACUGACUGCCCAGUUUUGAAUACCGAGCAGGAUAAAGGGGAAGGUGUGCACCUGCAGACAGCAACUGCUGCGGAAUAUCAGCUCAUGCUAUGUAACGGGGACUUUUCGCCCCCUUUCAACGGAUCUGUGAUGCAUGAGGAAAAAUUCAAGUUCUACACACCAGGAAGAAUCUAGAACACUAGUCCCAAAGCAAGAUCGAUUUUAUCUUUUCAUCAACAGUGUACAAAGGGGCUGUAAAUAAAAGCAGGUUACAAGGUGAACACCCAUGCACUGAUCCAGCUGGUCACACCUCUGCCCUGCCGUGUCAGUGUGAAUGAGCCACUAGACAUCAGCCAGGAAGGUGGAAGGGCCUGACCCAGGAAGGCCAAGGCAAGGAAAGCCACAGGAGGGGGUUCAGCCACUGAAUCAGGACCUGCACAUUCCUGCCCACAGCAGGUGGUUCUACCCAUCCCAGGGCAAGUGCCGGAGCACACGGGUCAGGUUCUUACAUCAGUUCUGCAUCGUCCCCCUUAAUGGGAGGUCCCUGUGAUCAGUGUUUCCAGAAGGUGCGUGCAUUGGAAUCAUACGAGAUUUCUGCUGAAAAACAGAGAUGCCUGGUUCCCACACCCUACCUGAUGAAUGAGAUCCUAGAGGAAGAGGAUGAUGCAUUUUUAUCAAGCUCUCCAAGUGAUUCUUAUGUCUGUUAAGCAGGCUCUUGGUUUUCUUCAGAGGAAUGUUCUCCAGUGGAAGUAACACUAACUGCUAAAUAUGAGAGCUUACCAUACACCAUGCUAUGCCCUGGAUGUCCUCUCUCACGUCAUCCUUGAAACUCCAAUGAGAAAACAGGCUCAGAGGACUGCAGUCACUCAUCAAAGCUAUCACUCAUCUAUCAAAAGUGGCUGUCACAGCCCCUACAGUAUUAUUAGAAUGAUCAUCAUUUCAAAUCAUCAUAAUGCUAGUCUUUGAGAACAGAACUGAACUAGCAUUUCUACAGUGAAACAGUUCACCUGUGAAAGUACAGAAACACAAUCAACCACCUAACACUCCCCUCUGCCAAAGCCAAGGGUGAGUGGAAUGGACACCAGAGUUCAUCAGGUGAAAGAAACAGCAGUUUUGAGGUCUCUGCCAACAAAAGGAGACGUCUGGUUUCUCUGAGCGAGUGCUAUAAUGGCAGAAUGAGUGUACUUCCUAGAGCCUCAUGAUUUUUCAUAAUGGUUCCUACAUACUAGCUGCUGACAGUAAGUUCAAUCUUUAAAAACAGCCUCUCAGGUUAUGACUGUAGGUCUCACAGUGAAAUUCACAGGACACUGUUCUUUUCAGUAUUUCAAAUAGUAUUUUCUUUUUCACUUACUCUUAGAGACAAAUUAAAAAACUUGCAUGUUUGCUUUUGCCCUUCAUCAAUAGUCUGAUUUAUUACAAAGAAAAUAGGUGGAAAAAAGGUCACUUUACAAAUGCCAGUUGUUAGACUAACAAUUACGAAACCCUUACCCAGUAUUUGUUUUUUGGUCUACCGUCUUCUGGGUGAACACUGUGGUUCCUGGAUUAAUCAUGCUCACCCAUGUUUGGGUUUGCACAGUCUCCCCAGUGUUGUGUGUGCAUGCGUGAGCUCUAACCCCAUCCCCGCUCGCGAAAGGCUUACAGCCAAAAUCUGAUACUCCCAAACUGAAAAGGCCUUGCUGAGUGAGUCACAUGUAGCCUGGCUGGGAAGGACGGAACCCUGGACCCCUUCUCCAUGUGAUACGAUGCCAACUUCCUAGUCUCACUGAGCAGUACAGCCAACAUCUGGGAAGUAUAAAAUUUUGGAGCUCUUGUUUGUGAUACUUCCUGCUGUGUUCCUGGCAUAUCUGAACACACUGAGUUUUUAACUCAUACCUGAAAACCUGUUUCUGUUGAAUAUUUGCCUUUUCCCCCUAUGGUAGGCUUCCUAAUGAUACCCUUGGAUAAAGGGAUUCUUCACACGUUUUAUGGAAUAUUACAUCUGUCCUUUGCUUAAUCUCAGUCCUGCCUUAGCAUUGAUGACAUGCUCUCCCUAACAAAAACACAUUUAUCUAAAUUUACAUCUCCAUAAGGUAUAAAUACGAGUUGAUCAAUGCUUUGAGAGAAGAUACAUAAAAGAUAAUACAUUAGAUUGCAUCAGUUUUAUAGCAAUAUGUUUAUAAGAACAGGAAUUAAAACAAAUCCCCUCUAAUGAUUUUUCCCUAUGUAAAUAAACACUGGGAGGGGAGAGACGGUUUUUCUCUUUUGCUAGGAGAACACACAGGAAGAACGGGCAGGGCGUAACUCU